rnacentral:rRNA from 1 species
GACGAACGCUGGCGGCGUGCUUAACACAUGCAAGUCGAACGGAAAGGCCUUUUCGGAGGUACUCGAGUGGCGAACGGGUGAGUAACACGUGGGUGAUCUGCCCUGCACUCUGGGAUAAGCCUGGGAAACUGGGUCUAAUACCGGAUAGGACCGCACUUUAGUGUGUGUGGUGGAAAGUUUUUUCGGUGUAGGAUGAGCCCGCGGCCUAUCAGCUUGUUGGUGGGGUAAUGGCCUACCAAGGCGGCGACGGGUAGCCGGACUGAGAGGUUGGUCGACCACAUUGGGACUGAGAGGCGGCCCAGACUCCUACGGGAGGCAGCAGUGGGGAAUAUUGCACGAUGGGCGCAAGCCUGAUGCAGCGACGCCGCGUAGGGGAUGACGGCCUUCGGGUUGUAAACUCCUUUCGCCAGGGACGAAGCGUUUUGUGACGGUACCUGGAGAAGAAGCACCGGCUAACUACGUG